UACGUAGGGGGCAAGCGUUGUCCGGAAUCAUUGGGCGUAAAGAGCGUGUAGGCGGUUCGGUAAGUCGGCUGUGAAAGUCCAGGGCUCAACCCUGGGAUGCCGGUCGAUACUGCCGGACUAGAGUUCGGAAGAGGCGAGUGGAAUUCCCGGUGUAGCGGUGAAAUGCGCAGAUAUCGGGAGGAACACCUAUGGCGAAGGCAGCUCGCUGGGACGUUACUGACGCUAAGACGCGAAAGCGUGGGGAGCAAACAGG
rnacentral:rRNA from 1 species